UGGUGGCGAGUGGCGAACGGGUGAGUAAUACAUCGGAACGUACCUUAUCGUGGGGGAUAACGCAGCGAAAGCUGUGCUAAUACCGCAUACGCCUGGAGGGGGAAAGGCGGGGGAUCGAAAGACCUCGCGCGAUUAGAGCGGCCGAUGCCUGAUUAGCUUGUUGGGUAGGGGUAAAAGCCCACCAAGGCGACGAUCAGUAGCUGGUCUGAGAGGACGAUCAGCCACACUGGGACUGAGACACGGCCCAGACUCCUACGGGGAGGCAGCAGGUGGGGUAAUUUUGGACAAUGGGGGAAACCCUGAUCCAGCAAUGCCGCGUGAGUGAAGAAGGCCUUCGGGUUGUAAAGCUCUUUUGUCAGGGAAGAAACACCGGCUCUAACACAGUCCGGGAAUGACGGUACCUGAAGAAUAAGCACCGGCUAACUACGUG
rnacentral:rRNA from 1 species